rnacentral:tRNA from 1 species
GGGGCUGUAGCUCAGUGGCAGAGCACUUGCCUAGCAUGUGCAAGGCACUGGGUUCAAUCCUCAGCACCA